UGCAGUGAUGAUUUUGUAGACUAGAGUCUCUGAUGAUUUUAUGAUGUUAUAUAUGCAUAUCUGAGCA